AUUGAACGCUGGCGGCAGGCCUUACACAUGCAAGUCGAGCGAGAAAUUUUCUUCGGAAAAGAGUAAAGCGGCGGACGGGUGAGUAACGCGUAGGAAUCUACCUAGUAGUGGGGGACAACAUGUGGAAACGCAUGCUAAUACCGCAUACGCCCUAUGGGGGAAAGCAGGGGAUCUUCGGACCUUGUGCUAUUAGAUGAGCCUGCGUCGGAUUAGUUUGUUGGUAGGGUAAUGGCCUACCAAGACUACGAUCCGUAGCUGGUCUGAGAGGAUGAUCAGCCACACUGGGACUGAGACACGGCCCAGACUCCUACGGGAGGCAGCAGUGGGGAAUAUUGGACAAUGGGCGCAAGCCUGAUCCAGCCAUGCCGCGUGUGUGAAGAAGGCUCUAGGGUUGUAAAGCACUUUCAGUAGGGAGGAAAAGUUAGUAGUUAAUAACUGCUAGCCCUGACGUUACCUACAGAAGAAGCACCGGCAAACUCCGUGCCAGCAGCCGCGGUAAUACGGAGGGUGCGAGCGUUAAUCGGAAUUACUGGGCGUAAAGCGCGCGUAGGCGGUUUGAUAAGCUGGAUGUGAAAGCCCCGGGCUCAACCUGGGAACUGCAUCCAGAACUGUCUGACUAGAAUACAAUAGAGGUGAGUGGAAUUUCCUGUGUAGCGGUGAAAUGCGUAGAUAUAGGAAGGAACAUCAGUGGCGAAGGCGACUCACUGGAUUGAUAUGACGCU
rnacentral:rRNA from 5 species